AUUGAACGCUGGCGGCAGGCCUAACACAUGCAAGUCGAGCGAGCGGCAGACGGGUGAGUAAUGUCUGGGAAACUGCCUGCUGGAGGGGGAUAACUCCUGGAAACGGUACCUAAUACCGCAUACCAUCAGAUGUGACAAGAUGGGAUUGGCUAGUAGGUGGGGUAAUGGCUCACCUAGGCGACGCUCACUAGCUGGUAUGAGAGGAUGAACAGCCACACGUGAACUGAGCAUCGGUCCAGACUCGUACGGUAGGCAGCAGUGGGGAAUAUGGUACAAUUGGCGCAAGCCUGAUGCAGCCAUGGCGCGUGUAUGAUUAAGGCCGUCGGGUUGUAAAGUACUUUCAGCUGGGAGGCGUUACCCGCAGAAGAAGCACCGGCUAACUCCGUGCCAGCAGCCGCGGUAAUAC
rnacentral:rRNA from 1 species